rnacentral:rRNA from 1 species
AAGUGGCGCACGGGUGAGUAACACGUGAAUCAUCUACCUCCGAGUGGGGAAUAACCUAGAGAAAUCUGGGCUAAUACCGCAUAACACUUACGAGUCAAAGCAGCAAUGCGCUUGGAGAGGAGUUCGCGGCCGAUUAGUUAGUUGGCGGGGUAAUGGCCCACCAAGACGAUGAUCGGUAUCCGGCCUGAGAGGGCGCACGGACACACUGGAACUGAAACACGGUCCAGACUCCUACGGGAGGCAGCAGUGGGGAAUUUUGCGCAAUGGGGGAAACCCUGACGCAGCAACGCCGCGUGGAGGAUGAAAUAUCUUGGUAUGUAAACUCCUUUCGAUGGGGAAGAUUAUGACGGUACCCAUAGAAGAAGCCCCGGCUAACUUCGUGCCAGCAGCCGCGGUAAUACGAGGGGGGCAAGCGUUGUUCGGAUUUAUUGGGCGUAAAGGGUGCGUAGGCGGUUUGAUAAGUCUGAUGUGAAAUCUAUGGGCUCAACCCAUAGUCUGCAUUAGAAACUGUCGGGCUUGAGUAUGGGAGAGGUGAGUGGAAUUUCCGGUGUAGCGGUGAAAUGCGUAGAUAUCGGAAGGAACACCUGUGGCGAAAGCGGCUCACUGGACCAUAAC